rnacentral:sRNA from 1 species
ACCAACGAAGGGAGGUGAUCCGAGAAGUGAAGACUCUUCGGACCAGCGAGGUGGUCGCGGGCUGAGUCCCGUGACCACCGGGACCCGCGGGUGCCGUGCCAUCGUCCAGCACGGCGGGAGAAGACUCCGACCCGCGGGUCUUUCCGU